CUUCCGCUCGCCGCGUCUGGCGAUCGCGGCUACGGAGACCCAGGAGGGCCCGGCCAGGAGACCCGCUCUCUAGAGCGGCGAGGGCAGGGGUUGCUAGGGCGCCGGGGUCGAACCCGCGCUUCCUGCAAGUCUUAGGGCCGCAUCCCUGCCGAGGCGGGCGUUGGGAAGGGUGGGAGAUGGGAAGGUGCGGUGGUGCGGGGAGGGGAGGGCGCCGGGAGGGGUCGGAGAGGGGUCGCGGGUUUUGGGGCUGCGAGGAGGGAAGGAGGGAAGAGGAGGGAAGAGGAGGGCAAGGGGAGGGGAGGGCGGGGAGGAGAGAGGGCGCGGGCAGGGGAGUGGAGGGCGCGGGGAGGGGAGGGCGCGGGGAGGGGAGGGCGGGGAGGAGAGAGGGUGCGGAGAGGAGGGCGGGAAGGAGAGGGGACGGGGGGAGGGAGGGGACGGGGGGAGGGAGGGGAGGGUGGGGGAAGGAGGGGAGGGGAGGGUGGGGGAAGGAGGGAAGGGGAGGGGAGGGGAGGAGAGGGCGGGGAGGGGAGGGGAGGGCGCGGGCUGCGGGGCUGCGGGGAGGGAGGGGCGGGUUCAGGGCUGUGGGCCCCGCCCGGGGCACCGCCUGGAUCAGGCCUGAGGCCGGCUGCAGAGAACUUGGGCACCGCGGACCAGAUUGCUGGUCACCAGGAUGAAAAAUAAAAAAGACCCAAACAGCUCCCCCGACCCCGCCUUCGCGCAGGCCCCUGGCGUUCUGCUCAGGGGUUUUUGUUUAAUGAAGAACGUCAAACAUCUGGCAAGGUCGGAAUGAUUUUGCGAUGAGCACCGCCUGGAUUCUGCGGUGAAAGCGACUGUGUGCGCGCUCACGGCCUCGCCUGUCCCUGCAUCAGCCCAUCUCGUCAGGCAGAUCAACAUGAAGCUGUAAAACGGAUGACUUAGGCCGGGCGUCGUGAUGGGCGCCUGUAAUCCCAGCUACUCGGGAGGCUGAGGCAGGAAAACCGCUUGAACCUGGGAGGCGGAGGUUGCAGUGAACCGCGGUUGCACCACUACACUCCAGCCUGGGAGACAGAGCGAGACUCCGUCUCAAAAUAAAUAAAUAAAACAUAUGACUUAGGUAUAUACGCAUGGGGGGAAUCCUCGUAAGGCAAGAACGUGCUGCACAUUCUGGGGACUGGGACAGGAUAAGCACACGAGUAGAUCUAAGUCACUGGAAAUACCUGGUUUUGCUGUUGGAGGGGGGCUUGCAGGUGCUCGUUAUAUUAUUACGCUGUUGUAGUAAAACGAUGUUAGUUACAGUAUUAAAUUGCAAAUGUCAGUAUCCAUCACCGCCAAAACAGCGUGCAUACCACUAGCAUAUGAUUUUUGUAGUUUUUUAAUGUUAAGUUUGUAAUGAAGUGCACAAACUUAAUUAUACAUUGGCUGAGGUUAUUUGUUUUAAAGGCAGUACUUGCUCUAUGGCCCAGGCUGGAGUGCAGUGCGUGAUCAUGGCUCACUGUAACCUCAAAUUCUUGGCCUCAAGCGAUCCUCCUGCCUCACCCUCCUGAAAGGACUGGGAUUACAGGCGUGAGCCACCAUGCCCAGCCUCCUUUUGCUGAGUUUUAACAAAUACAGUAGUGUAACCGAAGAUGCCAUCAAGACAAAUAGAACACGUCCCUCACCCCAGAAAAUUCUCUUAUGCCCCUUUCCAUUCUAUGUCCACUGCUACCAUGCCACCUGUGCUGAUUUCUCCACUAUGCUUCCGCCUGUUCUAAGAGUUCAUACUAAUGGAUCAUUGGGUACAUGUCCUUGUGUAAGGCGUCUUUCCCUUAGCGUCAUGUUUCUGGAGAUUCUUCUGUGUUGUUUCAUGUCUCAGGAGUUUGUUCUUUUGAUUGCCAAGCAGUCCAGUGUAAACACACCGGUGUGUUUAUCUGCUGUAUUCAUGGACACUUGGAGCUGUGUCUGGCUAUUGGCGAUCACGAAUAAAGUUGCUGUUGACUUUCUUUUU
rnacentral:lncRNA from 1 species